GUCGGGAUAGCUCAGCAAAGCAGGUAGAGCAGAGGACUUAAAAUCCUCGUGUCACA
rnacentral:tRNA from 1 species